UCAAAUUCAAUAUGAAUCCAUAUUUAUACCAAAAAGAACAUCUCAAUGAUUAAUCAAGAAGCAUAUAAAAAUAAAGCAUGCAAUUAAUUCAAAGAGUCAUAUUCAUUCUAAGAAUUCAGAAAAAUAUCAUCCAAAUAUAAAUUAUCCAAAUAUUAAACAACCAUCAUCCGUAAUCCACAAUUAAAACAAUUAUGCAUAUGAAAAUAUAGGUGCAUAAUACAACCAUCCACCAUUGUUGGAACAAAAACAAGCUUAAAGAUCCAAUUUCGGGUUUACAAAAAUUGAGUGAAAUGGAUUUGUUUGAGCCAAGAAAAUCGAUCCUAGAGAUGAAUGAAGCUAAUAGAUGAUGUAGAUUGGAUCAAAAAUGGGCUAAAGGAAGCUUGAAAAUAUAGAGAGAGAAACGGGUAGUUAGGUUUUUGAUUUUGGGUUUUAUGUGGAGAGAUGAUGAAAUCAAGUUUUGAGAGUGAAAAUUGAAAGAGUAAUGGAUGAAUAAUGAGUUGGAUGAUUGAUUUUAACAAGAAAAUGAGUGAAAGAUGAAGAGAUUUGAGAAAGAAAAAUGGAGAACACUAUUCACGCGGGAAUGGAAUGAGGAUGGAAUGAUGGAGAACAAGUGAAGAAAUCAUGAUGGAGAAGUGUUUAAUGAAGAUGAAAUGCAUGGGUAUUAGUUUAAAUGGUUGAUUUGGGCAUGAAAAUGGAUGAAAAAUGAAGAAAAUGGAGGUGAAAAUGGAUGGGUAGCUCACGGUUUUGAGGGAAGGAGAGAACAUGUGCAGAAAGCUCACGAGAGAGGAAGAAGAUGAAUAGCACAAAAGCUCACGAAUCCGGCUUGCCGAAUUUCAUUACUGGCUAGCCGGUUAUAGGGCAGUAACUUGAAAAACCGAAAACGGUCUGCCGGAUUUGAGAUCCGGUUGACCGGAUAUGAACCCGAGAACAACAAGCAAGAAUUCGGCUUCCCGGUUUUGAUAACCGGUAGACCGGUUGUGAGGCAGUGAGUUCCCUUUCAAAUUCAGUUUUUCGGAUUGAAGAACUGGUUAUCCGGAAUUUGUCCCGAGAGAAAUCAAUUAGAAAAAAAUGUUUUUCCGGAUGAAUGGAAAAGGAAUAUUUGCUUGCUCUUAUACUUGUACUACACACACCAUUUUAUUUCCGGCCUUAAAAAUUGAUUAAUUUUAAAUCAUUUUGAGAUUUAAAACUUUUCAAUAAGCCAUUUAAUGCAUGAGACAUAAAUGCAUACAGGACCAAACAUAUGAAAUCGUAUCAAACAAUGAUGUCAAUUUUAUAAGUGAAUGAUGAUAUAACACAAUUAACGACACAAGAAUUCAUGCAUAUAAUUCAUUCAUCACAGUCAUGAAACACUAAGCAUCCAACAAGCAUACAAUCAUGAAGCAUAUAAGCAUUCAAAACUUAAGAACAUGCAGAAAGGUCAAUUUCAAAAUAAAAAAUGUAUUGAUUGAGCUAGAAUUAAUGUGCAAGCUAUAUACCGUUGGAAAUAUAAUUAAGUUAACUUUCCAAUAAAUUUUACAGAGCUUGAUUUAGAGUUCUCUAGAAGAAGUUAUGACCAAUUCAUUACAGCCUGUGCAGACUCAGGAUAAAAUGCAGAAAUGUCAAAUUCGGAAUAAAAACUGUAUUGAUUGAGCAAGAAGUAAUGUGCAUGCUAUAUACCAUUGGAAAGAUAAUUGAGUUAGAUUUCCAAUAAAUUUUACAGAGCUGGAUUUGGAGUUCUCUAAAAGAAGUUAUGACCGAUUCAUUUCAGCAUGUGCAGACUCAGGAUUUUCAACGACCAUUUGAUUUCCAAACAAUUUUAAUAGAUUCAAUAACAUAAAUAGAGAUGUUAAUGCGAAAAUUUCAUCAUCCCAAGUUCAUGCCAAAUUUUUGAAAAUUGUUCUUCGUAAUAAUUAAACAUAUAAGCAUUCGAAAGUUAAUAAAUCAAACACACCACUUAACUAUCAUGCUUAAACACUUCAUAAACAUUAACAUCAAACAAAUCCAUCAUGAUAAAUCACUCAAUAUUACACACAAUGAUAAUUCCAUCAUGUAAACAUACAAGCAUACUUUCACAAAUUCAAGCUACUAUCCAUUUAUCAUGAUCCACUCAACAUGAUACCAAAUGAAUUAUUAAAUACUUACUAAGCUUAAAAGACCAUCACUCAUAAUCAAUAAGGCAAUAAUUGUUACCAAAACAAUUAAACCAUCUUGCCUCAUUGUUUUUGCCUAGACCAUGAUCAUCCUCACAAGCUUCAUCAAGGGACUCUCCAUCCUUCCUUAUUUGUGGUACCUACAAAAAAUUAUUCAAGUUGUAUACUUUGGUACCCAAAUAUUCUUGGGUCCUUGAGUGUUAGCAAUGGUUCCUUUUGGAACCCAAAUACAUUUUGCUCCAUAAUACACAUUUCUUUUAAUAGGACAUCUAUUCUUCAUAUGACCAUUUUGAUUGCAAUAAUGACAUACAAUUUUAUGAUCACUUGUGGAGGUAGCCUUAACAAAAUAAUUCUUAUAAUAUUUUUGUUUCAAGUAAGGCUUAUACCCAAGUCCUACUUUAUCAAACACACAUUUUUGUGAAUUAAGCAUGUUAUCCAACAUCUUUUGCCCAUUUGUGAAUUUCAAAACAAUCUCAUUCAACUCAUUGCUCUUUUUCUUAAGCGUUUCAUUCUCAUUUUUCAAGUCAUUCAUGUGUGUCUCUAAGUGCUCAUGUGAAGUGCUAGAAUUCUCAAAUAAUGCAAUACUAUCGUGCAAUGUUUUAUUUUCUAAUUCUAGGCAUGUAAUCUUUGCACAUAGAGAUUCAUUUUCAUUUUUGAGCUCUACCAUUUUCUUUUUAAGACAAGCAUUCUUUUUACCAAUUUUUAUCCAAUUAUCAUGCAAUUCUUUAAAAGCAUCAUAUAAUUCAUCAUAAGUAAAAAGAUCAUUUACCUCAUCAAGAUCAUCAUCCGAUUCAUCUCCAAUUGCCAUGAGAGCUAGAUUUGUCAUUUCUUGAUGCUCUUCAUCAUCACUUGUUUCCUCAUCGCUAUCAUCCCAUGUGGCUACCAUUGCUUUCUUCUUGAGCUUGUUGAGAAGAGGACAUUCCGUUCUUAUAUGGCCAAGCUUCUUGCACUCAUAACAUUUGAUUAAUUCCUUCUUCUCCUUUCGGUUCUUGAGGUCUCUAAAUUUUCUUCGCUCACCGGAUUUCUUAAAAAGUUUUCUGAACCUCCUAGCCAGCAUAUCCAUCUCUUCCUCAUCCAGCUCGCUUUCCUCAUCACUCUCAUGUUUUGAGGCUUUGAGAGCAAUGUUUUUCUUCUUCUCCUCAUUGCCUCUUUCGGCUGCCAAGUCUUCCUCAUAAGAAAUAAGAGAGCCAAUUAAAUCAUCAAUAGGUAAUACAUUUAAAUCCUUGGCUUCCUCAAUGGCAGUCCUUUUUGGUCUCCAUUCCUUAGGAAGUGACCUAAUGAUUUUCUUGACUUUCUCGCUAUUUGAAAAAGUUUUCCCUAGGGCUCCUAGAGUGUUCACUAUGUCUGUAAAUCUAGUAUACAUAAAGUACACAUUUUCAUUUUGUUCCAUUUGGAACAAUUCGUAUUGUCGAGUGUAUCUACUUAUUUUAGAUUCUUUCACUUGGUUUGUGCCUUCAUAGACAACUUCAAGUUUGUGCCAAAUCUCAUUAGCACUUUCGCAACUAGACACUCUAUGAAACUCUUUCUUAUCUAAUGCACAAAACAAGGCAUUCAUGGCCUUGGAAUUUAGAGAAGCUUUUCUCUUUUCGAAUUCAUUCCAAUCCCGUGAAGGUUUUGGAAUAUCUUCUCCGACUUCAUUUUUAGUCAAAGGCAUGAAAGGACCAUCAUUAACGAUUUCCCAAAUUUCAUAAUCUAAGGCUUGCAAGUAAAUUCUCAUCCUAAUUUUCCAAUAUGGGUAAUCGUUUCCAUCAAAGUAAGGUGGUCUAAUUGUGGAUUGUCCUUCCCUAAAUGUUGAGUCAUAUUGGGUUGCCAUUGAUCUUUAGCUCUAGACGGUUAAGUCUAAACAAGAGCACCUCGCUCUGAUACCAAAUGAAAUAUAAGUAUGCAACCCAAGAGGGGGGGGUGAAUUGGAAUCUUAAAAAUUAUCCUAGCAAAUCCACACAACAAGCAAUCUAAUGCCUUAAUAAAUUUGAAAGCAAUAAAUUCAAUCAAAGCACAAUAAUUAAAGAGCAAGGGAAGAAAGAGCAAACUCAAGGAUUUUUACGUGGUUCGGCAAUCCCCGCCUACGUCCACGCCUCCAAGCACACCGGGCUUGAGGAUUUCACUAUCCAAACCUUUCCAAGGCUUCAAAGAUUACAAUUGACUUCGAGGUGUCAAUAAACCUUUACAACAAAGAGAUUAUCUCUCAAUCUCUUCACUCAAGUGUCUCACACACUCAAACUCUUACAAAUGAAAUAAAGAAAUGAAAGUUACAAUCAAACUCACUCAAUGAGUAGAUAUUCAAAGAUGAAGAAGAAUGAAUGAUUCAAUGAUUUUGUGUUUUGCAAGUUGUAAGCUCAAGAUAUCACGUGUGCCUUUUGUUUUUGCUUGUUGGAGAGCUUCAAAAAGAGUUGGAUUUGAGUUCUUAUAGCUUGAGCUCAAAAACUAGCCGUUACUCACAUUCUGGGCUAUCCGGUUUGCCGUUUAAUGGAAUCCGGUAAGCCGGAUUUAUGUUACCGUUAAGGCAAAUUUUGCCUAACCGGCUUGCCGGAUUCGGAAUCCGGUAAGCCGUUUUCGUUCUGGGUGCUUGCUGCCCGAAUUCGGUUUGCCGUUUAUCAGUAUCCGGUAAGCCGCUUGCUACAGUAAAAAUUUUCCCCAUAUUUUCAUUUUAACCCCAAAACUUUAUAAAAACUAUAGUAUGGCCCAAAACGUUAUGAAACUUUACAAAUAGGUCCAAUUUUAGAAUUUUUAAGUAAUGCUUCGUUAAUCCCAAAACUUUUUGAAAUUAUGACUUUGCCCAAACUUUGAGAAAUUAUAUAAUGACCCAAAAAACAUUUAAAUAAUUUCAAAUAAGUCCAAAUCCGAAACUUUAAAAACAUUAUCAAAGCUUUUAAAAUACAUGUGGUUUGUUAUCAUCAAAAUCAAUAUUUAUAGCCAUAUAGGCUAACAAUCUCCCCCUUUUUGAUGAUGACAAAACACAUUAAAAAAUUUAAUCUUGUUAUGAAAAAGCUCCCCCUUAAUCAAUGCAAGUUAAAAAAUGAUUUGAAAAUAGUUUAAUAAAAACUCCCCUUGCAUACAUGCUCCCCCUAGAUACAUGCAUAUAUUUUCAUAACACAAAUUAAAUCAUUCUCCCCCUUCAUCAUAAAAAAGAAAAACUUAAUUGGCAAAGACAAAAGUAGCAAUUUUUUAUAAGUUUGAAAACAUGUAUUCUUCUCCCCCUUCAUCAUCAAAAAGAAAACUUAAAGGAAAAGAAUAAAAAUAGCAAAUUUGUUACCCAUGUUGUUCAAGUGGAAAUUUUGAAAGAAUCUCCCCCUAACAACAAGUAUUACCUCAAAUACAAGAUAGUAAUAUUACUCAUAAAUUAUCAUUAUAUCUCAAAAUCAUCAAGUCCUCACCAUAAUCAUAUAUCAUCAAAAUCAUCAAAAGAAUACUCAAAGUGCAUAUUAUUGUCCUCAUUUUGACAAUAUUGAAAUGAUAUAUUAUUUUGUCUCCCCCUUUGGACAACAAAAAAGUUCAAAAUGCAUAUUAUCCAAAAACAUAUUAUAUGUUCCCCCUAAAUAUAUGGCCAAUUAAAAUUUUAACCAAAAUGAUUUUAUCCAAAAACAUAUCACUUUUAUCUCCCCAUUUAUCAUAAAAAAAAGAUAGAUGCAAUUGAAACAAAAGCAUCAAAAAUAAUUCGAUAAAGAUAUUACCAAUUUUGUGCGAGGAAAAAUUUCGGCAGAGUCUUCCCUUAAAAUGCACAAAUCCUCAAAUACACAACAUGAUUAAAAACGCUUCCAUAUAAACUUAAACAAUUAUACCAAACCAACAACUCCAUCCAUUCAUCAAGCGACACAUAUAUAAUUUUCAAAUUCAAUAUGAAUCCAUAUUUAUACCAAAAAGAACAUCUCAAUGAUUAAUCAAGAAGCAUAUAAAAAUAAAGCAUGCAAUUAAUUCAAAGAGUCAUAUUCAUUCUAAGAAUUCAGAAAAAUAUCAUCCAAAUAUAAAUUAUCCAAAUAUUAAACAACCAUCAUCCGUAAUCCACAAUUAAAACAAUUAUGCAUAUGAAAAUAUAGGUGCAUAAUACAACCAUCCACCAUUGUUGGAACAAAAACAAGCUUAAAGAUCCAAUUUCGGGUUUACAAAAAUUGAGUGAAAUGGAUUUGUUUGAGCCAAGAAAAUCGAUCCUAGAGAUGAAUGAAGCUAAUAGAUGAUGUAGAUUGGAUCAAAAAUGGGCUAAAGGAAGCUUGAAAAUAUAGAGAGAGAAACGGGUAGUUAGGUUUUUGAUUUUGGGUUUUAUGUGGAGAGAUGAUGAAAUCAAGUUUUGAGAGUGAAAAUUGAAAGAGUAAUGGAUGAAUAAUGAGUUGGAUGAUUG
rnacentral:lncRNA from 1 species